UACGUAGGGAGCAAGCGUUGUUCGGAUUUACUGGGCGUAAAGGGCGCGUAGGCGGCGCGGUAAGUCACUUGUGAAAUCUCUGAGCUUAACUCAGAACGGCCAAGUGAUACUGCAGUGCUAGAGUGCAGAAGGGGCAAUCGGAAUUCUUGGUGUAGCGGUGAAAUGCGUAGAUAUCGAGAGGAACACCUGCGGCGAAGGCGGGUUGCUGGGCUGACACUGACGCUGAUGUGCGAAAGCUAGGGGAGCAAACGGG
rnacentral:rRNA from 1 species